rnacentral:rRNA from 1 species
GACGAACGCUGGCGGCGUGCUUAACACAUGCAAGUCGAACGGUAAGGCCCUUCGGGGUACACGAGUGGCGAACGGGUGAGUAACACGUGGGUGAUCUGCCCUGCACUUCAGGAUAAGCCUGGGAAACUGGGUCUAAUACCGGAUAGGACCACUGCCUGCAUGGGUGGUGGUGGAAAGCUUUUGCGGUGUGGGAUGGGCCCGCGGCCUAUCAGCUUGUUGGUGGGGUGAUGGCCUACCAAGGCGACGACGGGUAGCCGGCCUGAGAUGGUGACCGGCCACACUGGGGCUGAGAUAGGGCCCAGACGCCUACGGGAGGCAGCAGGUGAGAAUAGUGCACAAUGGGAGCAAGCCUGAUGCAGCGACGCAGCGUGAGGGAUGACGGCCUUCGGGUUGUAAACCUCUUUCAGCACCGACGAAGCGCAAGUGACGGUAGGUGCAGAAGAAGGACCGGCCAACUACGUGCCAGCCGCCGCAGUAA